UUCAAACGAACUUUUUUGUUUUUUUUUGUGACUUGCUAGCUUGUAUUAAGCUCAGCUGGCCGAGGCCUCAAGUAUUACAAGAUCAUCCACACAUGCUGGAGUUACAUGCCACCUCUCCAGCCUAUGUGUUUCAGAGACCUGCUUGGCUAAAACAUGGGUUACUUUAUUACAAAUUUACAAACUCGAUUAACAAAAGAGAAAGAGAAAUCUAGUAAGCCUUGGCUAAGCUCCACAAUUUCCUUCAGAACAGGGGCAAUGACUGAGCGUUGCAUUCCUCUCCUUUUCCAGAGCUGGACAACGUCAAGGCAAUCAGUCUCCAAGUGUACUCGUUGGAACCCAGCUUGGACUGCCAUCUUGAUGCCAUCACGACACGCCGUAGCUUCUAUAGUGCAAACGUCAAGGACCUGCUCAUACCAAGU
rnacentral:lncRNA from 1 species